UCUGCCUUUCACCUAGGUAUAGCCCAGAGAAAUUUGGAUUAAUACCUCAUAGCAUUACAGGAUGGCAUCAUCCUGCAAUUAAAGUCACAACGGUGAAAGAUGAGCAUGCGUCCCAUUAUCUAGUUGGUAAGGUAACGGCUUACCAAGGCGACGAUGGGUAGGGGUCCUGAGAGGGACAUCCCCCACGCUGGUACUGAGAGACGGAGCAAACUCCUACGGAAGGCAGCAGUGAGGAAUAUUGGUCAAUGGAGGCAAGUCUGAACCAGCCAUGCCGCGUGCAGGAUGACGGUCCUAUGGAUUGUAAACUGCUUUUGCACAGGAAGAAGCACUCCGACGUGUCGGAGCUUGACGGUACUGUGAGAAUAAGGAUCGGCUAACUCCGUGCCAGCAGCCGCGGUAAUACGGAGGAUCCAAGCGUUAUCCGGAACAUUGGGUUUAAAGGGCCGUAGGCGGUCUUGUAAACAGGGGUGAAAGCCCAUCGCUCACGGUGGAAGGCCAUUGAACUGCAGGACUUGAAUUAGUGGGAAGAACUAUAUAUGUAGUGUAGCGAUGAAAUGCUUAGAGAUGACAUG
rnacentral:rRNA from 1 species